GGAUAGCUCAGUUGGUAGUGCACAAGACUCCUAAUCUCGGGGUUGUGGGUUCAAGUCCCAUGUUGGACA